AGCGAACGCUGGCGGCAGGCUUAACACAUGCAAGUCGAACGGAUCCUUCGGGAUUAGUGGCGGACGGGUGAGUAACACGUGGGAACGUGCCUUUUGGUUCGGAACAACACAGGGAAACUUGUGCUAAUACCGGAUGUGCCCUUCGGGGAAAGAUUUAUCGCCAUUAGAGCGGCCCGCGUCUGAUUAGCUAGUUGGUGAGGUAAAGGCUCACCAAGGCUACGAUCAGUAGCUGGUCNGAGAGGAUGAUCAGCCACACUGGGACUGAGACACGGCCCAGACUCCUACGGGAGGCAGCAGUGGGGAAUCUUGCGCAAUGGGGGAAACCCUGACGCAGCCAUGCCGCGUGAAUGAUGAAGGUCUUAGGAUUGUAAAAUUCUUUCAGCGGGGACAUAAUGACGGUACCCGCAGAAGAAGCUCCGGCUAACUUCGUGCCAGCAGCCGC
rnacentral:rRNA from 1 species